rnacentral:rRNA from 1 species
AACGAACGCUGGCGGCAUGCCUAAUACAUGCAAGUCGAACGAGAUCUUCGGAUCUAGUGGCGCACGGGUGCGUAACGCGUGGGAAUCUGCCCUUGGGUUCGGAAUAACUUCGGGAAACUGAAGCUAAUACCGGAUGAUGACGAAAGUCCAAAGAUUUAUCGCCCAGGGAUGAGCCCGCGUAGGAUUAGCUAGUUGGUGGGGUAAAGGCUCACCAAGGCAACGAUCCUUAGCUGGUCUGAGAGGAUGAUCAGCCACACUGGGACUGAGACACGGCCCAGACUCCUACGGGAGGCAGCAGUAGGGAAUAUUGGACAAUGGGCGAAAGCCUGAUCCAGCAAUGCCGCGUGAGUGAUGAAGGCCUUAGGGUUGUAAAGCUCUUUUACCCGAGAUGAUAAUGACAGUAUCGGGAGAAUAAGCUCCGGCUAACUCCGUGCCAGCAGCCGCGGUAAU